CUCAUUCAUACCACCUGAAGGAGGUAAUUUAAUUUCCCUGUAUGUGGUAGCCAAAGUUGUAAUUAAUCUCAGGACCUGUAAGUACUGGAGUCUCCAUCUGUGGUGACUGGUUGCUUGCCAGCUGUGGCUAAUGAUAAGGUGCUGAGAAGGACGGAAGCAGUUUUGUGGAUGGAGCUUUGUGGAUCUCAGCUAAAAGUUACUGCUGAAUUUGCUCUGUACAGUUGGGAUGGAUGGGAGCCCUCAUCUGAAACCUUGUCACUGUUGUAUGGUGAAGAACUAGGUAUCCUCUGCACCAUUUCUGCCUCCCCAUAUCCACAGCAAUGUUUCCAUUCUGAGGGAUGGCACUUCAUGGGACUGCCCAGCCUUUGUCUGUCCCACAGUCAUCUUUUUCCAUCCCUCUGUUGUUCCCCUCCUGAGCCCUGAUCCAGGCUUUUGCUAAACUGAACAAACUUGAGCAUACACAAGGUAGACUGAGGAGUGUGACUCAGAAUAUGUAUGUAAGGUCCUGACCUGAAGAUCCGCAGUCUUCACAGGCCAUAGCACCUGCAGCUUCCACGAACUGGUGGGAAGCCCAAGUACUACUCUUGUGGGAACACCAGCACGGCUCCUCUGGCUCCCUGAAAGCAAACAUGGGAGAGAUGUAACUCAUCCACUUGAGAGACAGGAUUUCUUCUCAGUGAGAUGUAGCUGUGAAAAACUAAUCACAGGCUUUUAGUGCUGUUUUGAGAAGGAGGCGGGAGAAACUCUUGUAUUUUGGUUG
rnacentral:lncRNA from 1 species